UCUUGUCUGUGAGGAUAGCCAGUCACCAGUGACCCCCAUGGCAUUCAACGUGUUAAAUCAACUUGACUUAACUCAUUUUAGGCCAACCAUAUACAUUUUAUAAAAUGUGGUGUUAUUUUCAUUGAAAUAUGCUUAUAUUACACUCAUUAAGACACACAAAAAAGUUUCAUGCAUGAAAAAUUAUAUUUUAUUUAAGAAAUAAAAUGGGGCGUAUAGGCACCAUUCACCAAAUUAAUGAACAAACCAUUUAGUUAAACACUUGCUUUUUCUAUGGAAUUUUUUCAUUUACUGACUUGCAACUUUAAUCCAUCAUAAGAACCUAAUAAUAAAUCUCAAAAGGACUAAUUAUACAUUUUCAAAAAAUUUCAUUUGUCAAUAACCAUUUUAAGUUGAAAAGCUUUUGUAGUUUUAAAAUUUCUCAAUAGAAAGUGUUUACUCCAAUUGAAUUACUAUUAAUUUUUGGGGUGUCUUAAGAACCCUUGACAAUAGCAGAAAAAUAAAAUUAGUGAAAAAUAUACGUCACAGUGUUAAUAAAUUUUUUAUUUAUUUAAAUGGUGUGUUUGUGCCCCUUUCUCCAAAAAUGAGUUAAAUAAAUUAAAAUCAACUAAUAUUUUUAAAAAUCAUUAGUUUGAAUAAAAUUUUUUUACAAAAAAAAUCUUUCAAUGAAAUUUUUAUAGUUUUAUUUAUAAAUAUAUUGCUCUGCUAAUAAGUUUCAAUCAAAAUUACAUUAUUACUAAUUCCUAUGCAUUCUAAAACUAGGGAUGGAUAAUUUAACUGUUUAAAAACACAUUCUUGAAAAGUGCAAUUAAUUUUAAUAUUACAAAUAUAUUUUUAUAUCAUAAAAUUAUCUUUGUUUAAAGUGUGAUUUUUUAAGAAAAAAAAUUUAUUACUUUAUAUUUAUAGAUGAUUGUGCUCUGAAUUUCCGGAUUUUUCGCUAACCAUGUUCCGUAGGUUUCUGGAAAUCCAAGGUCCAGAAGUUUCAAGAAAUCAUUGACCACAUUAAUUCAAAUGACAGAAUAUUUGAUUUCUAAUCCCAGUUUGUUGCUGCAUCAUUUUGUACUAAUAACUGAACAAAUUUAGCUGAAAAACAGUUUAGUUACUCUAUUUGCAAUUAAAAAAAAGUAUAUAAUAUUAUAAGGAAGCUUUUAUGAUGUUUGUAUGAUAACAGAUAAAAUGUUUUUUAACCAGAUAAAAGUGACAAUUUGCAUUUUAUACUAUACCUCUAGUUUGUCUAUGGUAAGAACUCCCCUUGCCACAAAGUCUGAGGCUUUAUGCUGCUAUGGAAACAAGACUAGCGCAUUUCAGGGAGGGUAGCUUCUCGUCACUCUAGAGCUAACACAAUAGACCGAAGAAAAAGUUCAUUUCUCUUGCUGACUGGAGCCAAAACUUACCCUAAACAGUGACCCCACACCCCUACCUGAAAUAGUUUUACCUCGUUACCAAAGUCACCGCCACAGGUCCAGACGAAUGGCAUGGGACUUCAAACAAACUCUAUUUGUUUGAUAACCAUUGGUUAAAAGUUACAUUGUAAAUUCGUUCUGUAGCUCCACAGCAUGUUAUUGUAUACUUCUCUAAUUACAAUGUUUCCUUAAUUAAAAUUUGAUAUUCUGAUGUGAUUCCUAACACGUCUUCUGAAAAAGAUAGAUCAGAUUUGGAACAGCUUCGAAAGGCCGUAGAUUCAUCUGCACGUCCUCAAAAUUUAGAGAUAAGUCAUAGAUGGUCUAAAGCAGACUCAGAUACUGAAAUCUCAGAGUUAUCAAAAAGUCUAACUGAUUCAGAUCCAGUGGUUUCAUCAUUGAAAGAAAAGAUCAAAUCUCUUGAAGAUCAAGAUAAGAAUGUUCGGUGUCUCAUUUGUUUGGUAAACUUCAUUUUAUGCAUUUACAU